ensembl:lncRNA
GAGAGACUCUCCAUGACCUUCUGUGGGUCUCUGUGAGCCUCUAUAUCUCUGCAUUAAUUGUAUGGGCAGAAGUUUCUGGUUAAUUUUGGUUGCUACUGCUUUCUUUACAUUCAGAAUAAAGCAGAAUAAAAGGUAGAGAAGUAGAAAUUGCAGCUGAUAGAGUGGAGGGUCCGGUCUGCCAUGUGACAAGAGCACUAUUUUUGGGAAGACUUCAGAUCUGCUUUCAAGUGACCACACAAGGGAAUAAAUAUGACUUUUAUUGCAAACACUCCAAAAACACUUUAUGGAUCUUCUUGAAAGCAAGUGCUCAGGUGGACAAAGGGAACUCAAGACAAAGUUGAUAGAAGGAUGAAUGUGCUCCCCUGCCUCUGACUGUGAGAUUGCAGAAGGAACAUUGCACAGCUAUGAAGAAAAUGAGCAUAACUCUAUGCAGUAUUGAGCCCUAAGUGUAUGCUGACAUGGGAUGAAAAGCUGCUCAGAGGCCUCGAUGACACCCAAAGGGAUGCUGACAUUUGAGCAGGGUACCAGGCUG